ensembl:lncRNA
UGCUCAUCAUUGACAUAUCAAAUUAUAGUAACUGUUCGCACUUAAAUGUCAGGCCACAUCAAAUCACUAAUGCUCACACGGUCGGUUCUGAUUGGAGGAAGCGCAUGCCGCUCAAUUCUGAUUGGCCAAUGGAAUCUUGGACCAAAAAGUUGAGCAGAGGUCAGAGUAAGAGGAGAUUUGUGGUCUGAUGUACCUGGCAAAAGCACAAGCAUCCCGCUGUGAGACGUCUGUGCACUCGCGUUCCCUCAGGUGACUCGCUCUCGUUUUAGAACAGACCGCAAUAAUUUAAUAACGUCACUGGAUUCGGUUAAAGAUAGCCUGUUUUUGGAAAUCUUGGAUAUUCUUGUGAUGAUUUAUGUAACAAAAACAAAAUGUUCAAGCACGUCAUAAAACUAUAAAUCACACAGAGCACAACAGCAGCUUUCUAGUUUCAAGAUUAAAAUAAAACGUAUAAAGAUAAAAUAACCUAUGCCUUUAUAAUCUAUUUCUGUACUAUAUAUAGCAAUAGCAACGCCCUGGCAACAGCAUGCUGCAGUAACAUACUAGCAACUGCAUAGCAACACCCUGGCAACAACCUGCUGCAGGAACUCCCUAGAAACUUUAUAUCAUCACCCUGACAACGACCUACCAAAGUAACUCCCUAGCAAGUGCAUAGCAACACACAGUGGCAAACACCUACUGUUGUAAAUCCCUAGCAAACUAUAUAGCAAUGUCCUAGCAACAACCUGCAGCAGUAACUCCCUAGCAACUGCUUAGCGACACCCUGUAAACGUCCCGCUGUAGUGACUCCCUAGCAACUGCUUAGCGACACCCUGUAAACAUCCCGCUGUAGUGACUCCCUAGCAACUGCAUCGCGACACCCUGUAAACGUCCCGCUGUAGUGACUCCCUAGCAACUGCAUAGCGACACCCUGUAAACGUCCCGCUGUAGUGACUCCCUAGCAACUGCAUAGCGACACCCUGUAAACGUCCCACUGUAGUAACUCCCUAGCAACUGCAUAGCGACACCCUGUAAACAUCCCGCUGUAGUAACUCCCUAGCAACUGCAUAGCGACACCCUGGCAACAUUCAAAUGAAGUAACUCCCUACCAACACUCUGGCAGUGACCCACUGUUGUAACUCCCUAGCAACUGCAUAGCAAUGCCCUGGCAACCGGCUACAGCAGUGACUCCCUAGCAACAUGCUAAAACCCACUCAAAACACUUUACCGACUGCAUAGCAACACCCUGGCAACCACUCAAAACACUGGCUGCUAUUUUCUGCAAAAAUGUGAAACUCUACAGUUUAAAUCAUCCAAAUGCUCUUGAGCAAAAAAAAGCAGAGCUCAAGUGAAUCAGCAUCAUGUCACCGCCGUUAAUAGACUCCAUCGAGCGCUAACAUGGUCAAGAUGGCACUGGUGAGUCACACUCAUAAAGCACUGGUUAGUGUCCUGCAGCGAGAGAGAGUGUGUUCAUUUCCUCUCACUGAGUGUCAGUCGCUCGUUUGGGGUUCUGGAUCACCGCUGCUGUUUAAUCUGCAUUUGCAUUCCUACAGUUUUUUUCAGCUCGUCCUUUUUCCCUGAAUCCCGCCGGCUCCAUCGGACCCCCGGGCUUCCCUUACCUCCUCCUCCCUCCCAGGGCCGUGCGUGACAGUAGCUCGCUGAAAAGUGGAAAUGAUUCUAGUAAACAGUGAUUAGCUCCAGACCGGGAUCGGCUCGUCCGCCGUGAGACCUGCAUCCACACGCUGGCGGCUGCCAAGUCCUCAACCUUCCCGACCCUCCGGGGUCACGGCCAGCCUUUCACAGCCAGGUUAAAGAGAAUAAUGGCAGGCAAACACGACAGCCUCACGCAACACACACACUGCGAAGCUGGCUCUGAUUAGUGCGGACGCUGAUGUGAGAGACCAUAUGUGAAUCACGGGAUUCCAGAGGACUCUCCUGUACGGAAAAACGUGAUGGGAUUUUGGCAGCGCUGAGCUCUGAUAGUAACACUGCAAAACCGGGGCUACAAACCCAGAGCGGUGUCUGAGUCAUCAAAAUAACAUUUGACAUUUUAUGUUAU